rnacentral:rRNA from 3 species
UGUAAAGUUCAAGCUCCGAUUAUGAGAGCGAAACCGCGAAUGGCUCAUUAAAUCAGUCAUAAUCUACUUGAUUGUUUCCAGUUUAUAUGGAUAACUGUGGUAAUUCUAGAGCUAAUACAUGCACAAAGGGGGCGACUCUUUCGCGAGAGAAGCUCUGCGUUUAUUAGACUAAGACCAAUGAUAGCUUGCUAUCUUGUUCAAGGUGACUCUGAGUAAAUAAUGGGUGAAAGCCCAUGGUGCUGACCUGAUAUACUAAAAAGCCCGCAAGGGUUUGUCAGGCAAAUCAAUCGUGUGUCUGCUCUAUCAACUGUGGAUGGUAGGAUAAUUGCCUACCAUGGUGAUGACGGGUAACGGGGAGUUAGGGCUCGACUCCGGAGAACAAGCCUGAGAAACGGCUAGUAGGACUAAGGUCUGCAGCAGGCGCGAAACUUACACAAUGCUAGAUUACAAUUAGCGAUGUAGUGAAGAAAAAUAACGAUGUAUUUCCAUUUAAACAUGGUAGUACAAUUGGAAUGAGACGACUUUAAAUCAGUUAGUCGAGUAACAAAUGGAGGGCAAGUCUGGUGCCAGCAGCCGCGGUAAUUCCAGCUCCAUUAGCAUACAUUAAAGUUGUUGCGGUUAAAAAGCUCGUAGUUGAAUUUUAGGCGGGCUCUAUUGGGGUGCAAUCGUUAAGGUCCUCUGGUCAUAGGUUCGCCCUAUCCAGUGUGACUGGUUGUCAUCUUCCUAUAGGAACUCGCUGUUUCGUCACUUAAUCGAGUGCGAAGCGGGCUGGAACGAGGGUACGACUCCGGUCUGCCUUGUCUCAGCAUGUUUACCUUGAGAAAAUUAGAGUGCUCACAGCAGGCAGUUGGGGUGUAAAAGCUCCUUUAUGCUUGAAUAAUGUUGCAUGGAAUAAUAGAAUACGGCCUCGGUUCUAUUCUGUUGGUCUUAUAGAACAACAAACAAGUUGGUUAAAGCGAUCAAAAGUCUAUAUGCGAGUGUGGUCUAGAGGUAGCUUUUUAGUUGCUGGCCCAUCUUCCGGUUGCGUCUUGUUGCCUGGGGCCUUAAAAUCUCAGAGCCUUACGUGCCGGCUAGAUGCCUUCUUUUCUAAUUAGCACGCCUCUUUUCCAUCCAAAGCACUCCUUAUACGGCUAGCUUCUAAUCAACUGAGGCAAUGGUUAAAAGAAAUAGUCGCGGCGGCAUCAGUACUGCAUCGUGAGAGGUGAAAUUCUUAGACCGAUGCAAGACUAACUGAAGCGAAAGCGUUUGCCGAGGAUAUUUUCAUUAAUCAAGAACGAAAGUUAGAGGUUCGAAGGCGAUCAGAUACCGCCCUAGUUCUAACCAUAAACGUUGCCAACUAGCAAUUGGGUUGCGAUUCCUUUAAUCGAAGCUUAAAACACUUCGAUCAUUAUGAUCCACCCAGCGGCUCUCGUAGGGAAACCAAAGUGUUUGGGUUCCGGGGGAAGUAUGAUUGCAAAGUUGAAACUUAAAGGAAUUGACGGAAGGGCACCACCAGGAGUGGAGCCUGCGGCUUAAUUUGACUCAACACGGGGAAACUUACUAGAUUAGAACUCUGGAAUGAUUGACAGAUUGAUAGCUCUUUCUUGAUUCAGAGGAUGGUGGUGCAUGGCCGUUCUUGAUUCGUAUUCCGAAACGUCUGCUUAAUUGCGAUAACGAGUGAGACCUCAUCCAACUAACUAGUCGUUUGGUGCGCUGUGGAACGCAAAAGUCUUGGUAGGAUUGGUCCUAGCGGGUUGCUGGUUCGCUAGUGGAUUCGUUAGGCUGCCUAUUUUAGAUGUUCUCUGCUCGCCAGCGGACUUCUUAGAGGGAUAAACGGUGCUUUAGCCGUAAGAAACGAGGCAAUAACAGGUCUGUGAUGCCCUUAGAUACUCUAGGCCGCACGCGUGCUACAAUGGCGUGUGCAGAAAGCUUGUUCGAGGUUUGUCUAGAGAGAACUGGCCAUUUGGUUUGGGCUUGGCCGCAAGGUUGGGCUUAGAUCGGUGGAGAAGUGACUCUAGUUAGCAGGCCGAGAGAAACCGUAGUCGAAAGAUUACGGCAAUCAGAAAUACACGCCGUGAUUUGGGAUUGGGGAUUGCAAUUGUUGCCCAUGAACGAGGAAUUCCCAGUAAGCGCAAUUCAUCAUAUUGCGUUGAUUACGUCCCUGCCCUUUGUACACACCGCCCGUCGCUACUACCGAUUGGAAGUUUUAGUGAGGCAUUUGGACCUGCUUUCCAACGAGGAAGCAAUUCCUCCAGGAUUUGCGGGGAAGUCUGUCGAACUCAAAUUUCUAGAGGAAGUAAAAGUCGUAACAAGGUUUCCGU